GACCUGGUGGUGUAGUGGUAGCACACCUGCUUGACAUAAGCGAGUUACAGUAUUUGGAGAAGCUCAGCAGGAAAUCCUUGUUCAAUUCAAGGCUAGGCCA